GUUACUUAUUUGCGAUUUCCACAAUUGUGGAGAAAUUCCGAAAGUCAUAUCUCGGUAUUUGAGAAAUUUCUAUCUCACAUUUCACACAGCCAUUUCGCGCGCAAAAUACGCUCUACGUCUCUUUCGAUAGCGCUUGGGACGUCACUUAUUUGCACCGCAAUGCAACCCGUCCUGGGAAGAAAAUUAACCUUUGGACGAAAUCGAUUAGCUCGACCGAUAGAACGGCUUUAAAAGAUCUUUUUCAGAAAGGAAAAACUGCAUCGGUUCGUAAAAGCUGCUCGGAACCUCGGCCCUUUCCAAUGACACACAAGUCGUCCUGCUUCGGCAAGUAGCAAAGUGUGAUAACACCAUGAAACUUUUACGGAUUGAGAACUCUGGAAUUAUGUGCACGGGUAGAAAUUUUCGCAACGUCAAGGUUGGUUUCCAAGUUACUUCCAUGAAGUUCUCCCGAAGUUUAAUGCAAACCUCACAAAACACCUCAUAUCACUGUUCCGUAUCGUGGGAUUUAAUAUCGAAAAUCAAAGGAUUAAGUUAAACCAAAGAAAUAAGUAAAUAAA